ensembl:lncRNA
GAGAGGGAGGGUGUGAAAAAGGCCUGGGGUGGGGGGCAGCCCAGAAGGACUGCUGUAGUUCUCAGCUUCACAGGAGAAUCCCCUGGAGAAAACAAUGAUGGCUGGGCUCCAUCCCAAGCCAGCUAUUCCAAAUCACUAGGGGUGUGGCUCUGGCAACAGCAUUUUUUCAAGGUUUUCCAGGUGGUUCUUCCCGGCAACCUGGUUUGAGAACCACUCUUUUCACACAGGGGCCAGAGUAAGACAAUAAACAGACACACCUGAAGUUGUUCUCAAACUUUAUUAGGAGGUAAGCCGCCUGGAGAGCUUGGUGAAGUUGUGGGUUUUCUCAAACCCACCCCGCACCUCCCCCAGAAGAUCAGCUUCAGUUGGUCUGGAUGAAUCUACGUUUAUAACAAGCUCCCAGAGAUCCCGAGAUACCCUGGGGAAGAGAUGGUGGCUGAGGAGCAGAAGAGAGGUGAAAGUCUAAUCCUGAAGAUGACCCUUCCUAACCUUGGUCCCAGAGUGAGCUCAGUCAAACUCAGUCCCGAAAAAGAUGAGAAACCUGGGACACCAACAGGAAAAGUAACCUGCUGAUCGCAAAGAACUCUACAGGAGACCCGGCUUUGAUCCCUGGGUUGGGAAGAUCCCCUGGAGAAAGACAUGGCAACCCACUCCAGUAUCCUUGCCUGGAAAAUCUCAUGGACAGAGGAACCUGGUGGAUUGCAGUCCAUGGGGUCGCAAAGAGUCGGGCACAACUGAGCGACUAACACACACAACAAGUUGGCAUGGAUGGAAAAAAUAAAGAGGUGAGGAGGGGCAGUAAGACAGAGGGAGAGCCCUGCACCAAACCACAGCUCGAGCUGUCCUUCUUAAGAAUACUAGAACACAGAAACCAGGAUUCAUCAAAGUUUCACCUUGGUAGACCCAGCUGCACAAAGUGGGAGCUAAAUUGAAUACCAGAUGAACAGAAUCAGAGCAGAAGUCAAAAGAAACCUACUGAGCAUAAGAGAGGAAUUUGAGAGGGAGACAAAUAGGGGGGAAAUGACACAGAGAUCAAGAUCAGAAGGCAAAGAGAACUGAGACUGGAGAAGAAAGCAUGGCAGAAAGUGAGCUGUAAAUAAGGACGGACUUCAGAGAAUUCUUUUUAUGUGGGUCUCAGUGAGAUUCCUUGGGCUCAGAAUGAACCUGAAAGGAGAACCCCAGACCUAACACUUAGGGGUCUUUUAUUCCCAGCCUACUGACUACCCAGACUUCACAGGAUAUACAAAACCCUUCCAGCUGGCUGGUGCAGCUGCUCUGGCGUGUGCGGGGGAACAGGUUAGUGACUCUCCAGGCUUGCCUAGCUCUGCGUCUCCCUUGACUCCAGUCCAAGUGCCAACUUUGUCGGAAAUAACACUGUGCUGUGCUUAGUCACUCUGUUGUGUCCGACUCUUUGUGACCUCAUGGACUGCAGCCCACCAGGCUCCUCUGUUCAUGAGGAUUCUCCAGGCAAGGAUACUAGAGUGGGUAGCCAUGCCCUCCUCCAGGGGAUCUUCCCAACCCAGGGAUCCAACCCAGGUCUCCUGCAUUGUGGGCAGAUUCUUUACCAGCUGAGCACAAGGGAAGCCCAAGAAUACUGAAGUGGGUAGCCUGUCCCUUCUCCUGGGGAACUUCCCGAUCCAGGAAUCGCACCAAGGUCUCCCGAAUUGCAGUCAGGUUCUUUACCACCUGAGCUACCAGGGGACCAUAUUAAAGUAGAUCAGACAGAAAAGCAACUAAGGCCCUUAAGAUGCCUUAGUAAGUCACAUGGCACGUGUUCUAACAACUGAAAUCAUUGUUGCAUUUGGAAGGGUGGGGUCUGUUUCAAAUAAAAGAAAAGGAAACAUCCAGGGCUAUUAAGGUGUUUCUUUGAGGCAUGCUCUUCCAGGAAGUAGACCUUCCAAGAAUUAUGCUGGGAAUUAGAAAAUUAUCCUGCUCUCAGGAUAAUUCACACUGCUACUGCCUUCUCUCAUCUUCAGUAAGGGGCACUCAUGACUGAUGUUCCUUAAAGAGGGAAAUAAAGAACCGCGUCAACCCUUAGCAUGUGAGCACUGAUGGGUAUUUCUGGAAGUUCCUCAGCGUUUUAUUUUUUCUCAGUAGUUCUUACUAGUCACCAGAAACCCACCCCUGAAGACGUCAGUUUCUGCUCACCCCCCGCCCUCUCAUCAAUAAUGCAAGCCUAUGCUUUGACCGAUCUUUGUACCUCUUGUUAGCAACUACUAUCUGCUGGUGAAUUGAAAAUACGGGUCCUAUUCAGUCCCGAGAAAGACAUUCCCUGAAAAUGCACGAAAAUAAAAUACUUGUAUAAGUAGAAUGUUCUUAUAAAUCUCAGUAUUUAUGUCUUUAAUACUCACCAAGUUUUCUGGUACUAAAAACAACACUUGAUCUUUACAAAGCACAAAUGGCAAAGUCAACAAUGAAAACCAUACAUAGGUCUCAAGAGAAAAGUUGCAAAGAGAAACUAGAACUCUGUUCCCUAGAGAUUUUCCAAAGCAGAGGUGUGAAGACAGGAAACAUUUUAUUUGACCUCUGCCUGUCUUAUUUUUCUAGUCCUUCUACCAUGAUGCCCACUUCCUCCCAGUUUCCAUUGUCUACCUGUAAUCACUGCCCAGUGUACAUCACAGCAUUGGAGCAGUUCAGCUUGGGUAGCCCUUCCUCCAGUAAUUUCCUAUCUAUAUGCAGGAUAUGGGGCAACAACAAGGUUGAAAUCAACACAGCCACCUACAAUCAAAAUUCUCAUGAAACGAAGUGUCCCAACCUCAACAUAAUGAUUCUAUGCUACAGAAAUCAGAAUAGUGUUUACUCUUUGAUGAAUAGUUAGAGACUGGAAGGGGACAUGAGCCUCAGGGCGUGGUGAGGUGGUUUCCUAGGUACUGAAAAUUUUGUUUCUUCAUCCAGUGCCAGUCCACUGGGUAUUUUCAGUUUGUGAAAACCCACUGAGUAAAACACUUAGAAUAUAUGGGGUUUUUUUUAAUAUGUUAUAUGUUAUAGAACAUGUUAAAAUAUAAUGGCCUUCAGAAUGACACAGUGCAGGAGAUUGAGAGGUUCAGAACUCAAAAUAUAAUCAACAUAACCUUGGUAUUUUAAGAAAACAUAGUCCAAACAAAAAGUGGAAUAACAUUUGACAAUGUUAUUAAUACAAAUCCCUUAUAAAUAUUAUUAAAAAUAUUUUACAAAAUAUAUUUUUCCUUUUUGGGAAGCAUCUUUGAAAGAGGUUUUCACCCUUUCUGAAUGGGCUUUCAAUGGCUCAGUCGAACAGGGAUCUGUUGGGCAUCCAGUGUUAAAGACUGGUGCUUCUACUGCAGGGGGCAGAGGUGCAAUCCCUGGUUGGGGAACUAAGAUCCCACAUGCCUCACAGCAUGGUCAAAAAAUAAAAUGAUAAAUAAAUAAAAGGUGUCUGUUAGAAAGGAGCUGAGGAAUGUUACCAGCACUGCACUGUCCCAACGACAAGCAUAGCAAAAUCAGGCCAUAAUGGUUGCAAGUCACUAGCUGAUGAGGGUGCUUUCCUGGUGGCUCAGAUGGUAAAAAGUUUUCUUGCGACACCAGAUACUCAGGUUCAAUCCCUGGGUUGGGAAGAUCCCCUAGAGAAGGGAACGGCUACCCACUGCAGUAUUCUUGCCUGGAGAAUUCCAUGAAAUGAGGAGCCUGAUGGGCUACAGUCCAUGGGGUUGAAAAAGAGUUGGACACAGCUGAUUAGAUCAUCAGUCUCAUCAGUUGAUUGUAUCAUCCAACCAAUACUUGCUCAGAUUCCAUACUUAGCAAUUCAAUCAUAAAGAGAGAAAAACUUAAUUUUAAUGCUUUAAGUGAAAAAGUUCUAAUUUUACAUAUAUCUCUCUGAAGUCACAAACUUUUUUUUUUUUUUUACAAUCUGUGGACACUUUCUAAUCCAAAAUUAAUAACAAAACUCUUCAGUUCAGUUGCUAAGUCGUGUUCAACUCUUGGGGACUCCAUGGACUGCCGCACGCCAGGCUUCCCUGUCCAUCACCAACUCCCAAGCUGACUCAAACACAUACCCAUCGAGUCAGUGAUGCCAUCCAACCAUAUUAUCCUCUGUCAUCACCUUCUCCUCCUGCCUUCAAUCUUUCCCAGCAUCAGGGUCUUUUCCAAUGAGUCAGUUCUUCCCAUCAGGUGGCCAAAAGUCAUGGAGUAUCAGCUUCAGCAUCAGUCCUUCCAAUGAAUAUUCAGGAUUGAUUUCCUUUAGGACAGACUGGUUUGAUCUCCUUGCAGUCCAAGGAAUCUCAAGAGUCUUCUCCAACACCACAGAUUACUUUUGUCAGCAAAGUAAUCUCUCUGCUUUUUUAAUAUGCUGUCUAGGUUUUUCAUUGCUUCUCUUCCAAGGAGAAAGCGUCUUGUAAAUUCAUGGCUGCAGUCACCAUCUGCAGUGAUUUUGGAGCCCCCAAAAAUAAAGUCGGUCAUUGUUUCCACUGUUUCCCCAUCUAUUUGCCAUGAAGUGAUAAGACCAGAUGCCAUGAUCUUAGUUUUCUGAAUGUUGAGCUUUAAGCCAGCUUUUUUCACUCUCCUCUUUCACUUUCAUCACGAGGCUCUUUAGUUCUUCUUUACUUUCUGCCGUAAGGGUGAAGUCAUCUGCGUAAAGAGGUUAUUGGUAUUUCUCCUAGCAAUCUUGAUUCCAGUUUGUGCUUCAUUCAGCCUAGCAUUUCACAUGAUAUAUUCUGCAUAAAAGUUAAUUAAGCAGGGUGACAAUAUACAGCCUUGAUGUACUCCUUUCCCGAUUUUGAACCAGUCUCUUGUUCCAUGUUCAGUUCUAAUUGUUGAUUCUUAACCUGCUUAUAGAUUUCUCAGGAGGCAGGUAAGGUGGUCUGGUAUUCCCAUCUCUUGAAGAAAUUGCCAGUUUGUUGUGAUCCACAUACUCAAAGGCUUUGGGGUAGUCAAUAAAGCAGAAGUAGAUGUUUUUCUGGAAUGCUGUUGCUUUUUCAAUGAUCCAGCGGAUGUUGGCAAUUUGAU